rnacentral:misc_RNA from 1 species
CAACCAUGCCAUGCUCCAUUACACAAAGGUGGACUUUGUCAGAGAAGAGAUUUGAGAGUUUGCCCUUUCCAUGGACCCGUCAUACCCCGAGACGAUGAAGGAAAUCCUAUCAAUAAGAGCACUUCAACAAGUGAUACAACUCUUGAUUCUGAUUUAAUAGAGCAAUUAGCAAAACAAGCUGUAAAGAAUGUUCGGAAUAGAGAGAAUGAGGAAGCUAAUAAAAGAAAAUUGGAUAAGCAAUCACAGAAGCGUGCAAAGCUUGCUAAGAUUCGUGAACAUAAUGAAGCGGUUCUGAGAGAUGCUGCAUUGGCAUCGACCUCUAAUUCUGUAUUUGCUGGGGAGGAUGUGAAGGCAACCACUGGGGGGAGGUUGGCUAGAAACAAAAAGAAAAGCCUUGCAUCAAUGCUGCACAAGAAAGAAUCCACAAAAGAUAGGUUAGCACAGAGACUUUUGAAUACCCGGGCAAGGGAUGCUACAAUAAGGCUGGUGACACUUGGUGAGGAUGCAAAUUACAGAGAAGCUUUCCCUAAUCAAUGGUAGAUGGAUGGAUGUCUUUAUUGUGCUUUGGGACUUCCAGAAAGGACUGAACUGCUUAACAUGCCUAUGCUGCUAAGACAAGAAACAGCUUCAGUUUGAUGGAAAACAAUUAUUGCAUGUUGAUCUCGCAGAGGAUUGAAUUUGUUCAAAUAGUUUGCUGUGAAUAUUUUUUGAAGUCAAGGUAUCUACUUGUUCCACCGUUAUGGGUUUUCAGAGGGAGAAAGAUAGGAGCGGUUUUGUUGGCAAACUUUUUAAUCUGUAUAAGGCUUUUUCCUUUUUUCCCUGAAACAUUUUUGUAACAUAUUUUAACUACUGGACACAAAUGAAGAAUUGGGUCAUUGCAAAUAAA